CAUUUUACAUCUCACCAAUAAAAUGUGGUAUUUUAGUAAAUCAUUUUCGUAUUUUGUGCUAGGACUUUUAUUAAUUCACCAAAUGCAGGUGUCGGCAGAGGAAUGCGAUCCUUGGACAAGACCCGUGCCGCCCGAGUGCACAUCUGUAGUUAUCAGAUAGAUGUUUGUUCGUAAUUAGCGGUCUCCAUUGUAUAGCGCUAGUGGUUGAAUCUGAAAGUGAUUCCAGUUUGCAGUCAACUCUAAAAAUUUCACCAAAAUUGCGUCACUAAUUCGCAUACGGAGGCGACUACAGCUACACUUUGUGGCUUAGGGUACUUAUGUAUGUAUAUGUAUUCGCCAAUUAUACUAAAUAUCUUGUAAUUUAUGCACAUUUCAUUAAACAAUAAAGUUCAUAAAGCUUC